GAGGAAAGCUGGCGGCGUGCCUAACACAUGCAAGUCGAACGGAAAGGCCCUGCUUUCGUGGGGUGCUCGAGUGGCGAACGGGUGAGUAACACGUGAGUAACCUGCCCUUGACUUUGGGAUAACUUCAGGAAACUGGGGCUAAUACCGGCUAGGAGCUCCUGCUGCUUGGUGGGGGUUGGAAAGCAUCGGAUGUUGGGGAUGGACUCGCGGCUUAUCAGUUUGUUGGUGGGGUAGUGGCUUACCAAGGCUUUGGUGGAUAGCCGGCCUGAGAGGGUGACCGCGCACAUUGCGACUGCGGUACGGCCCAGACGCCAACGGGAGGCAGCAGGGGGGAGUAUGACACAAUGGGCGGAAGCCUGAUGCAGCAGCGCCGCGUGCGGGAUGACGGCCAUCGGGGGAGAAACCGCAGUCGCCUGUGACGUUGCGUGAGUGACGGUAAUGGGUAAAGAAGCACCGGCUAACUACGUG
rnacentral:rRNA from 1 species